UACAGAGGGUGCUAGCGUUGUUCGGAAUCAUUGGGCGUAAAGGGCGUGUAGGCGGUUUGUUAAGUCAUGUGUGAAAUCCCUCGGCUCAACCGGGGAACGACGCAUGAAACUGGCAAGCUAGAGUACCAAAGAGGGGGGUGGAAUUCCCGGUGUAGCGGUGAAAUGCGCAGAUAUCGGGAGGAACACCUGUGGCGAAGGCAGCUGGCUACACAAAUAUUGACACUGAUGCACGAAAGCGUGGGGAUCAAACAGG
rnacentral:rRNA from 1 species